GAUGAAGAACGCAGCGAAAUGCGAUACGUAAUGUGAAUUGCAGAAUUCAGUGAAUCAUCGAGUCUUUGAACGCACAUUGCGCCCCCUGGUAUUCCGGGGGGCAUGCCUGUCCGAGCGUCAUUGCUGCCCUCAAGCACGGCUUGUGUGUUGGGCCUCCGUCCUCCUCCCGGGGGACGGGCCCGAAAGGCAGCGGCGGCACCGCGUCCGGUCCUCGAGCGUAUGGGGCUUCGUCACCCGCUCUUGUAGGCCCGGCCGGCGCUUGCCGACACAUCAAUCUUUUUUCCAGGUUGACCUCGGAUCAGGUAGGUAUACCCGCUGAACUUAAGCAUAUCAAUAAGCGGAGGA
rnacentral:misc_RNA from 1 species